AACUAACGCUGGCGGCGUGCCUAACACAUGCAAGUCGUACGAGAAAGCCGGCUUCGGCUGGUGAGUAAAGUGGCGCACGGGUGAGUAACGCGUGGAUAAUCUGCCCUUAAGUGUGGAAUAACGUACCGAAAGGUGCGCUAAUACCGCAUAAUGCCUGGCAACACAAGUUGUCCGGCCAAAGAAGGCCUCUGUUUACAAGCUUUCGCUUCAGGAUGAGUCCGCGUACCAUUAGCUUGUUGGUGGGUAAUGGCCUACCAAGGCUGCGAUGGUUAGCUGGUCUGAGAGGAUGAUCAGCCACACUGGAACUGAGACACGGUCCAGACUCCUACGGGAGGCAGCAGUGAGGAAUAUUGCGCAAUGGGGGCAACCCUGACGCAGCAACGCCGCGUGAGUGAGGAAGGUUUUCGGACUGUAAAGCUCUGUCGAGCGGGAAGAAGUGUACCAUGGCUAAUAUCCAUGAUAUUUGACGGUACCGCUAGAGG
rnacentral:rRNA from 1 species